rnacentral:lncRNA from 1 species
GCAGGAGGCCCAAGCCCUGACAACAGAGGUGAGAGAGGCUGUGCCAGCCCUUCUCUGGGCAUGUCUGGGCUCAAGGGCCAGGCUCUGUCUCCAGUCUAGGGCCAAGCUGGGGCCUGUGGCAGGAUCAGAUAGAGGCAAAACAUUGAUGAGGCAGGGGGACGGACAAAAUGGGCCUUCCAGAGGUGCUCUCAGACCCUCCCAGCCACACUACAGCCGCAGAGCCCUCCGCUCACAAACCAUCCUGGCCUCAUCAGAACCUGGGGAGGGUUCCUAGUUGUGCAGGGGGUUCCCUGUACGUACCCCUUUCCCUCCAGCACUGGAGCCCGAGUCUCCCGCUGAGCAGGCACCUCUCCCUCCACGCCCAGGCUUCUUAAACCAACCCCUCCUCCCCUUGUCAUUCAUGAACCAGAUGCAGAAACUGAGGCUCAGAAGCGUUCGGCCACGUGCAUGCAUUGCCUUUCCCAUUGGUGCUCCAUCGCCAGUAAUGGAUAAGUAAUAAGUAAUAAGGUGAUUCUGACUCUCCUGGAACCUGAGAACCACCAGUCUACGGGAACAGAGCCCUGCUUUGGGUCAGGUGUGUAUAACUAUGGUAUUCCCUUUCUUCUCUGCCUCUAUUGUUGAUGUUGUUUUUUUGUUUUUUGUUUUUUUUUGAAACGGAGUCUCGCUGUUGCCCAGGCUGGAGUGCAGUGGCGCAAUCUCGGCUCACUACAAUCUCCGCCUCUGGGGUUCACGCCAUUCUCCUGCCUCAGCCUCCCGAGUAGCUGGUAAGGGAGGAGACCACCCCUCACAUUGUCUUAUGCCCAAUUUCUGCCUCCAAAGAAAGAAGUAAAAACUAAAAGGCAGAAAUGAAAUCCACAGGCAGACAGCCCGGCGCUGCACCCUGGGCCUGGUAGUUAAAGAUCGACCCCUGACCUAAUCAGUUAUGUUGUCUAUAGAUUACAGACAUUGUAUAGAAAUGCACUGUGAAAAUCCCUAUCUGUUUUGUUCCGAUCUAGUUACCAGUGCAUGCAGACCCCAGUCACGUACCCCUUGCUUGCUCAAUCAAUCCCGACCCCCUCACACGCACCCUCCUUAGAGUUGUGAGCCCUUAAAAGGGAUAGGAAUUGCUCACUCGGGGAGCUCGGCUCUCGAGACAGGAGUCUUGCCGAUGCCCCCAGCCGAUUAAACCCCUUCCUUCAACUCGGUGUCUGAGGAGUUUUGUCUGCAGCUCGUCCUGCUACACUGGGACUACAGGCGCUCGCCACCACGCCCGGCUAAUUUUUUAUAUUUUUUAGUAGAGGCAGGGUUUCACCGUGUUAGCCAGGAUGGUCUCGAUUGCCUGACCUCAUGAUCCGCCUGCCUUGGCCUCCCAAAGUGUUGGGAUUACAGGCGUGAGCCACCGCGCCCGGCCCCACUCUCUACCUCUGUUUGUUUAGGGGCAGGCAUAGAAUCCCAUUCUAGUCAAUGAGACAGAAAGGGGUUCUGGAAAGUUCCCCCACCCCCUUAUAAAACAAGGAGGACGUCUUCAAGGAGGACGUCUGAGGAGAAGCUUUGCCGUGGCCUUUUGCCUUUGGAUGCUGCCAGAGGGGUUAGAAGGCGGAGCUCCACAGUCAGGCAGCUGGGGUGUGUAUCCUAGCGGGGAGAGCAAGAGACAGUGGGACAAAAAUAAUAACAGUAAUAGCAGCAAUGCUUCUUGAGGACUUUCCGCAUGGCAGGCCCUAUUCUAAGCACCUCAUGUAGCAUAUUUUACCCUCAAACAGUCCUGAGGUAGGUUCUGUUAUUGCGAUUUUAUAAAUGAGGAAACUGAAGCACAGACAAGUUUAAAUAACUCGUUCAAAGUCAUACAGCUCAUACAUGGAGGCCAGCAUGCAGGCCAGGUGUGUGGGGUAUGGGCAUUGCGGGCUACUUUAGGGACCCUGACCUUUUCCUCAGCAUAGUGGGAAGCUGGUGAAAGGUUUUAAGCAGGGGUGGCCCCUCUGAUUUACCUUUUUUUUUUUUUUUUUUUUUUUGAGACAGUGUCUCACUCUGUUGCCCAGGCUGGAGCGCACUGGUGAGAUCUUGGCUCACUGCAGCCUCAAACUCCUGGGCUCAAGUGAUCCUCCCACCUCAGCCUCCUGAGAAGCUGGGACUACAGGCAAAUGCUACAGUGGCUGGCUACUUUUUGUAAAGACGGAGUUUCACCAUGUUACCCAGGCUGGUUUUGAACUCCUGAGCUCAAGCAAUCCGUCCACCUCUGCCUCCCAAAGUGCUGGGAUUACACGCAUGAGCCACCACAUCUGGCCUGAUUUACUUUUAAAAGUCACUGAAAUGCUUUGCUCCUAAAUUCUCUGCUGGGGACAAGCCAGCCACACUUGCACGGCCUGUUCUUCAGCCUCUUUUCCUCCCUGAGACAUCAGUCCCUUAGCAAACCCAGCGUCUUGGGUGACUGGGACCAGGGUGACUCAAUGGCAGAUGCUGAUGGGUGAGACAGCCACAAAGAUGAUCUUUGGAGAGUGAGUUAUAGGUGAUUUGUUUUAUUUAAUUUUUAAUUUUUUUAUUUUUUUUUGAGACAGAGUCUCACUCUGUCGCCCAGGCUGGAGUGCAGUGGCGUGAUCUCAGCUCACUGCAACCUCCUCCUCCCGGUUCAAGCUACUCUCCUGACUCAGCCUCCAGAGUAGCUGAGAUUCCAGGCAUGUGCCACCACACCCAGCUAAUCUUUGUAUUUUUAGUAUAGACAGGGUUUCACCAUAUUGGCCAGGCUGGUCUCCAACUCCUGACCUCAAGUGAUCCACCAACCUUGGCCUCCCAAAGUGUUGGGAUUACAGGAGUGAGCCACCACCUCUGGCCAGGUGAUUCGUUUUAAAUCUGAAUUUUUACAUUUUUUUAUAAUAAGUGACCAUAUAUCACUUGCUAUUUAAAAAAAAAUUUUUUUUGAGAUGGAGUUUCACCCUUGUUGCCCAGGCUGGAGUGCAAUGGCAUGAUCUUGGGCCACUGCAAUCUCCGCCUCCCGGGUUCGAGCGAUUCUCCUGCCUCAGCCUCCAAGUAGCUGGGACUACAGGCAUGUGCCACCACGCCCAGAUAAUUUUUGUAUUUUUAGUAGAGGCAGGGUUUCACCAUGUUGGCCAGGCUGGUCUCAAACUCCUGACCUCCGGUGAUUCUCCUGCCUUGGCCUCCCAAAGUGCUGGGAUUACAGGCAUGAGCCACCGUGCCCAGCCAAAAGUCAUUAUUUAUAAAAAGAAAGAUGAGGGGCCAGCACCCCACCCUCCCCAGGGUUGUUGACUCCUGCUGGUACUGGCUGUGGCUGAAGUCAUCAUCAUGGAGGCUAACCCUUGGAGGGUAGAUAGUGCAGUGGCAGCAUCCUAAGGGCUUUAUGUGACCUGUAUGAACUCAUUUAAUCCCCAC